CAAGGAAUUUUCCCCAAUGGGCGCAGGCCUGAGGGAGCAACGCCGCGUGCAGGACGACGGCCUUCGGGUUGUAAACUGCUUUUGCGUGGGACGAUAACGACGGUACCACGCGAAUCAGCCCCGGCUAACUCUGUGCCAGCAGCCGCGGUAAUACAGAGGGGGCAAGCGUUGUCCGGACUUACUGGGCGUAAAGCGCACGCAGGUGGUAGCGCAAGUGGGGUGUGAAAGCCGCCAGCUCAACUGGCGGAGGCCAUCCCAAACUGCGUCACUUGAGGCCUGUAGAGGUAUGUGGAAUUUAUGGUGUAGCGGUGAAAUGCAUAGAUACCAUAAAGAACACCGAUAGCGAAGGCAGCUUACUGGACGGCGAAUGACGCUGAUGCACGAAAGCGUGGGUAGCGAACGGGAUUAGAUACCCCUGUAGUCC
rnacentral:rRNA from 1 species